rnacentral:rRNA from 1 species
UACAGAGGUCUCAAGCGUUGUUCGGAUUCAUUGGGCGUAAAGGGUGCGUAGGCGGCGCGGUAAGUCGGGUGUGAAAUCUUGGAGCUUAACUCCGAAACUGCAUUCGAUACUGCCGUGCUUGAGGACUGGAGAGGAGACUGGAAUUUACGGUGUAGCGGUGAAAUGCGUAGAGAUCGGGAGGAACACCCGUGGCGAAGGCGGCCAGCUGGGCCGUCCCUGACGCUGAGGCGCGAAGGCGUGGGGAGCGAACGGG